AGUGAACGCUGGCGGCGUGCCUAAUACAUGCAAGUCGAACGGAGUGGCGCACGGGUGAGUACUGUAUACCUAAUCUGCCCUACACUAGAGGACAACAGUUGGAAACGGCUGCUAAUACUCUAUAGUUUAGGAUGAGGCUAUAUUGUAUCAGCUAGUUGGUGAGGUAAUGACUCACCAAGGCGAUGACGCAUAACUGGUCUGUGAGGAGGAUUAGUCACAUGGGAACGGAGACACGGUCCAGACUCCUGCGGGAGGCAGCAGUAGGGAAGAGUACUCAAUGGGGGAAACCCUGAAGCAGCAACGCGGCGUGGAGGAUGACAGUUUUCUGAGCGUAAACUCCUGUUGUUAGGGAAGCGGUACCUAACGAAUAAGCACCGGCUAACUCCGUGCCAGCAGCCGCGGUAAUUC
rnacentral:rRNA from 1 species